rnacentral:rRNA from 1 species
AGGGCAGACGGUGGAUGCCUUGGCUCUCGGAGGCGACGAAGGACGUGAUAAGCUGCGAAAAGCCCGGGGGAGGCGCAAAUAGCCCUUGAUCCCGGGAUAUCCGAAUGGGGCAACCCGGCAGGCUGAAGGCCUGCCAUCCCGUAAGGGAGGCGAACGUGGGGAACUGAAACAUCUAAGUACCCAUAGGAGGAGAAAAUAAACAAUGAUUCCGUAAGUAGUGGCGAGCGAACACGGAAGAGCCCAAACCCAUGUCGUCUAGGCGACACGGGGGUUGUAGGACCACGACGUGGCAAGAUAGAGUCAAGUGGAACGCCUUGGAAAAGGCGGUCAUAGAGGGUGAAAACCCCGUACACGACUGACGAUUGAAGCCUAGUGGCAUCCUGAGUAGCGCGGGGCACGAGAAAUCUUGCGUGAAACAGCGGGGCCCAUCCCGUAAGGCUAAAUACUCCCGAGAGACCGAUAGCGAACCAGUACCGUGAGGGAAAGGUGAAAAGAACCCCGAGCAGGGGAGUGAAAUAGACCCUGAACCCGUCUGCCUACAAGCGGUCGGAGCGUCGUAAUGACGUGACGGCGUGCCUUUUGCAUAAUGAACCUACGAGUUACCUUCCCCGGCAAGGUUAAGUACCUAAGGUACGGAGCCGAAGCGAAAGCGAGUCUGAACAGGGCGCCAAGUCGGGGGGGGUAGACGCGAAACCGAGUGAUCUACCCUUGGCCAGGUUGAAGGUUGGGUAACACCAACUGGAGGACCGGAUGGGUAAGCGUUGAAAAGCUUUCCAAUGAGCUGAGGGUAGGGGUGAAAGGCUAAUCAAACUCGGAGAUAGCUCGUACUCCCCGAAAUGCAUUUAGGUGCAGCCUCUUUAUAGUAUAUCGUGAGGUAGAGCGACUGAUUGGAUGCGAGGGCUUCACCGCCUAUCAAGUCCAGAUAAACUCCGAAUGCGCGAUAUAUAUUUACAGGGAGUGAGGGCGCGGGUGCUAAGGUCCGUGUCCGAGAGGAGAAGAAUCCAGACCACCGGCUAAGGCCCCCAAAUGAUCGUUGAGUUGAACUAACGAGGUCGGAUCGCAGAGACAGCUAGGAUGUUGGCUUGGAAGCAGCCAUUCAUUUAAAGAGUGCGUAACAGCUCACUAGUCGAGCGAUCUGGCGUGGAUAAUAAUCGGGCAUAAACGAUCUGCCGAAGCCGUGGAUGUCGCAAGACAUGGUAGGGGAGCAUUCCAUGCCGCGUCGAAGAUGAGGGAUGACCCUUGUUGGAGCGCAUGGAAAAGCAAAUGUAGGUAUGAGUAACGAUAAGGGGGGCGAGAAACCCCCCCGCCGAAAGACCAAGGUUUCCUGAUCAACGCUAAUCGGAUCAGGGUGAGUCGGGACCUAAGGCAAAGCCGAACGGCGCCGCCGAUGGAAGAAUGGGUUAAUAUUCCCAUACUGCCUCAUGGAGUGACGUGGAGACGGAGAAGUGACAGUCCUGCCGGCUGACGGAAUAGCCGGUUGAAGGGUGUAGAUAUUGAUUCCCGUAGGCAAAUCCGCGGGGAGAGUCGAACCUGAGAGUAUACGGAGCGCUUGCGCAACGUAAUAUGGACGUAACCAUGCUCCCGAGAAAAUCCGCUAAACUUAUCCAUGCGGCACCCGUACCGUAAACGGACACACGUGGUCGGGUUGAGAAUACUGAGGCGCUCGAGUGAUUCACGGUUAAGGAACUAGGCAAAUUGACCCUGUAACUUCGGGAUAAAGGGUCCUCGUCGUAAGGCGAGGCGCAGAGAAUAGGUCCAGGCAACUGUUUAACAAAAACACAUGGCUGUGCGAAAUGGAAACAUGAGGUAUACAGCCUGACACCUGCCCGGUGCCGGAAGGUUAAGAGGAGAUGUCAUCCGCGAGGAGAAGCGUUGAAUUGAAGCCCCGGUAAACGGCGGCCGUAACUAUAACGGUCCUAAGGUAGCGAAAUUCCUUGUCGGGUAAGUUCCGACCUGCACGAAUGGUGUAAUGAUCUGGACACUGUCUCAACCGUGAGCUCAGUGAAAUUGUAGUAUCGGUGAAGAUGCCGAUUACCCGCGAUGGGACGAAAAGACCCCGUGAACCUUUACUAUAGCUUUACAUUGAGUUUGGGCAGACGAUGUGUAGGAUAGGCCGGAGGCUUUGAAGCAGGUACGCCAGUAUUUGUGGAGCCGACGUUGAAAUACGGCCCUUCGGUUGUUUGAGUUCUAACUCCUAGUUAGGAGGACACUGUAUGGUGGGUAGUUUGACUGGGGUGGUCGCCUCCAAAAGCGUA